rnacentral:rRNA from 1 species
CCCUUAGAUGUUCUGGGCCGCACGCGCGCUACACUGAACAGUUCAACAAGUCUUAACCUUGGCCGAUAGGUCUGGGUAAUCUUUGAACGCUGUUCGUGAUUGGGAUAGACCUUUGCAAUUAUGGGUCUUCAACGAGGAAUUCCUAGUAAACGCAAGUCAUCAGCUUGCAUUGAUUACGUCCCUGCCCUUUGUACACACCGCCCGUCGCACCUACCGAUUGAAUAGUCCGGUGAAAUCUCGGGACGGCGGCUUGGUCGCUUGCGUCCGACUGCUGAAACUUGAUUAAACCAUAUCAUUUAGAGGAAGGUGAAGUCGUAACA